AAUAACCAAAGUCCUGAGGAUCCAGAUCAGUAAUUCCAUCUUAGAGAAUCCCUAGUAAUUUUUUACUGUUCUCUGAUUCCUGACUUGAGCGUCGGAGGAUCCUCAUUGGAGCGAAAACCUCCAGUUUGGACUUUGUUUUACUGGUCACUCUAGUAUUUCUAUGCAAGGCCUAGUCGCCCACCUUCUGACCUCAAUCGGAACCAGCAGC
rnacentral:lncRNA from 1 species